GAUGGUUCUCAGGUAACGGCACCCCAGAAUCAGGCUCCCUCUUCUCUGGUUCUGGGUGUAUCACCAAGAACUGCA
rfam:Myotis brandtii contig154034, whole genome shotgun sequence.